UGGGUGCACUUGGAUUUGCCUUGCCUUAUCUUCUGGUAAACCAGAAUAAGAACAAAUAAUCUGAACCAUCAUAAAAAGAAAGUGUCAUUAAAGGUUGCUCAUGCUUGAAGAAACCAGCCCUCAUGUUAUGGUGGUACUCGGGCAACUCAAGAAGAGGAACUGAAGCUUCCUUCCAACAGCACCAGGUUAGUGAACUAUCUCAGAAACUGACCCUCCCACUCCAAUUAAACCUUCACAUACCUGCUGACAUCCUAACUACGACCUUAUCAGAGACCCUAACUCAAAACCACCCAGGUAAGCCAUACCUGAAUUUCUGACCCAUGGAAACUGUAAGGCAAUAAAUGUUCAUUUUAAACUAAGUUUUAGAGUACAGUGGACUCUAGAACAACAUGAG